rnacentral:rRNA from 1 species
AUUGAACGCUGGCGGCAGGCCUAACACAUGCAAGUCGAACGGUAGCACAGAGAGCUCGCUCUCGGGUGACGAGUGGCGGACGGGUGAGUAACGUCUGGGAAACUGCCCGAUGGAGGGGGAUAACUACUGGAAACGGUAGCUAAUACCGCAUAACGUCGCAAGACCAAAGUGGGGGACCUUCGGGCCUCACACCAUCGGAUGUGCCCAGAUGGGAUUAGGCAGUAGGUGGGGUAAUGGCUCACCUAGGCGACGAUCCCUAGCUGGUCUGAGAGGAUGACCAGCCACACUGGAACUGAGACACGGUCCAGACUCCUACGGGAGGCAGCAGUGGGGAAUAUUGCACAAUGGGCGCAAGCCUGAUGCAGCCAUGCCGCGUGUAUGAAGAAGGCCUUCGGGUUGUAAAGUACUUUCAGCGGGGAGGAAGGCGGUGAAGUUAAUAACUUCACCGAUUGACGUUACCCGCAGAAGAAGCACCGGCUAACUCCGUGCCAGCCGCCGCGGUAA